AUCGCUUCUCGGCCUUUUGGCUAAGAUCAAGUGUAGUAUAUUAUUACAUGUUCAAAGGAUGAUAUUGUGGAUAUAUUGGGUCAAAUAAAAUAUACAAAAAUUAAUUUCAUCUGUUUUUUUUAAAUACAUAUAACACUAGAAAAUGGAAAAUUACAUCUGUGUCUCAUGAUCUAUCUCCUGGACAGCACUACUCUGGAUAAAGAGAAAUCUGU
rnacentral:snRNA from 1 species